rnacentral:SRP_RNA from 1 species
CCGCGCUAGGUGGGGAACUAGCGGUGCCCUGCACCCGCAAUCCGCUAUAGCGGGGCUGAAUUCCCGUUCGAGGUCUGCGUCUUCGCAAACCGCUUCGCCGAUCAGUGCUGAAGGCUGGGUCCUGCGCGGCAGAGUGCUAUGAACUCCGUCAGGUCCGGAAGGAAGCAGCGGUAAAUCGAGAGCUCUGGGUGCCGCAGGGCUUCCUGGCCCGAGUUGAUCAGCCGAGUAGGCCGCGAAGACAGGAACGACAACGGGUGCGUGG